rnacentral:rRNA from 1 species
GGGUGCGUAACGCGUAUGCAAUCUACCUUUUACUGGAGUAUAGCCCAGAGAAAUUUGGAAUAAUCCUCCAUAAUAUCAUUUAAUCGCAUGAUUUUUUGAUUAAAGCUUCGGUGGUAAAAGAUGAGCAUGCGUUCUAUUAGCUAGUAGGUAAGGUAACGGCUUACCUAGGCAACGAUAGAUAGGGGUCCUGAGAGGGAGAUCCCCCACACUGGUACUGAGACACGGACCAGACUCCUACGGGAGGCAGCAGUGAGGAAUAUUGGACAAUGGACGAAAGUCUGAUCCAGCCAUGCCGCGUGCAGGAUGAAUGCCCUAUGGGUUGUAAACUGCUUUUAUAUAGGAAGAAAACCCUCCACGUGUGGAGGC